rnacentral:lncRNA from 1 species
CCGACUGUAAAAGAGCACCCUAGACUCCGAUCUAGGUAUCAAAAUGAAAUAGAAGACGAGAUGAAUGUUUUUAUAACUUUCGUUUGCCGUGAAACGGUCAGAGGUGUUCGGAAAGUUCGUCGACACCCAAGGCCUGGUUUCGACGGAAAGAGGACGUCGAAGCUUACAAGCUCUGGUCAACCCCAAAAAGUGACCAACACAUGUCAAAUAAACUACCAAAUUGAAGCCCAAGGGAAGAGGAAGAGAUCUAUACCAUUUUCAAGACAUGCCGUGGUCGGAGCUCGACGGAGUUUCGCCUUGGAACCCACGGUCCACACCGGAAACUGGGUUUUGGUUUUCUCCAAACUUUUGCACCGGUUUCCAUGGUGCUACCAUCCUUGUUUGCACUAGCAGAGGGAGAAGAAGAACGAGGGAGAUGAGGGAGUGCUGGUGUGUGUGUGUGUGAGUUCGGGGAAGAACCGAAAAAGGAAUGAGAG